rnacentral:lncRNA from 1 species
GUGUGGUGGGACCUCAACACAUGUCCGGCUCCGGCUGGUGUUGAGCCUCGUGCGUGUAUAGAAUCUGCGUUGAACAAGGAGAUGGGUUAUCGUUCUCAAGUCCACAUCUAUGCCAUCGUCAACCUGGAAGAAUACUUGUUACUCACGCCCCCUGCGGUAAAAAAAAUCCUCUAUCAAUUUGUUUACUCUUUUAAGUGUGUUUAAAGAGAGUCUCAUCCCUAAUUUCUUUCUUUCAAGGUGGGAACACGACUUAUUUUCUUUAUUGCUCGAAUGGUCUGAGCAUGACCCACCUCCGGCUACCCUCAUGCUGAUAUCUACUAGUCAUACGAUGGUUGAUCCUUAUCUUAUGUUCAAACGUAAGGAUACAUAAUAGAUUUACUAGUAAACCAAUGGUUUCAAUCAUAAAGCCAAGAGAUGUGAAAGAAACUAGAAAUUCUGAUUUGAUCAUUUGUUAUUACCAUUGAUUCUUCAUCUCCUUCACCUAACCGUAGAGCCAGAUCACACAUCGCUUGUGUUGUGGACUCUACUUUCAUUGGCUUACCAUACGAUAAUCUGUGCUUCUGAAAAUCAGUAAAGAAGCUGUCAAUAACAUCAAAAAUCUUUUUACACUGUAAGGAACAAAAACAAACGAGAAAAAAAAAAACCUCACUUGAGUCUCAACUCUUUCAUGCUCGACAAGAUCAAGUGCAUCAGCAAUUAUACCACUAAUGGCACAACCAAUAUGGUCAUCAAUUUCCAUAAUCUUCUCCACACUGCUCGGCUCCUAAAAAAAUAAAAUAAAUAGUAUUAACUUUGAGGAGAAACAAAGAUUCAAUGUAAACAGCCAAACCAGUCAACACGAGGUGAUAAACUUGUUUUACAUAAACUGAUCUUGUUCUCAAUACGAUUCAGUGUAAGUAGUUUUAACAUAGACUGAGAUACCUUAAAACAUAGAAUGCUUAUACUUCAUCUUAUCUAAUGCAGCAACACCAGAGAUGCAAUUCACUAAAUCAAAGAGAAUUGAUCAAACGAGAAGUUUAAGAAACAAAGAGAUCAAAGGUAAGAAGCAAACCAGUAAAGGCGAGGUGAAUCGCUUCUCAACAGCAAGCACAACUCCCUCUUUUGUCUUUACUCCAAUCGCAGUAAAACCAAGACUCAUCAGAGACAAUUCAACCAAAAUAUCUGCAACUGCUUCCGCUUGACGGUUCCGCCUAUUUUUCCAUUUUCUAACCAUUUUGUUUUUGUUGGUGAAGGGCAUAGUUAACACGCAGCGCCAAUUUUUUUUUUGCUUAAAAACCGCUGAUGUACUGACUGACAGGCUGCAAUUUGUAGAAUCGCAACCUGUAAGGUCAACACAAAUAUCUAUAUCAGGCACACCAUGCGUAAUGAACACAAUCUGCAUCCCCUUCCUUCUCAGAUUCUCAAUGUGGCCGUAAUAUCCUUUAUCACCUGACAAUAAAACAAAACGUUCUUCAUAGUGUCUCUGAUCCAUUUUUGUAUAAAGGCUCAGCAGACAGUCACCUAUGGAGACAUCUGCAACUUGAAGUUCACGAUAUUUUGUUCCUGAACGGAAGGGAAUUUCUGCAUCUGAAUCAUAAACCUUAUGGUAAACAAUUUCAGCUUGAUUCUGUAGUGUUCUGGACUCCCAACAAAGAUAUAGAAUUUUGGCGGCUUGAAGGUUGUCAAAGUACUAGUCUGCUCUAUGGCCUCGCUAAUACGACGAAUAGCUUAUUCAGUAGACAAUUCUCCCUUGAUUGGAUUAUUCUCAUAAAUAUUAAAAUUUUCAAAAUAAAAUAAGAUUAUUUUGAUCAAUUUAUUUUUGUGAUAAGAACUUAAAAAUGGAUAUUUAAGUAAAUUGCCCAUAGUUUUUUGGGUUUUAAUUAUAGCAGAUCUAGUUUUUAGUACAAUCAAGUUUUUGUAAAAAUACAAGGAAAACUAAUAAUUCCUUUUAUAAAAAUCUAGUAACUUAUAUAAAUAGGCCAUAAGUUUUUAUCUCAUGGGCUAUGUAUAAAAACUCAUGGUUUAGGGUUUCCUGCAUUUUUUGUGCAUACGCCAUAUAAAUAGGCCAUAAGUUUUGUGCAUUCUGAAAGGUCGUCGUCGUCUAAAUAAAUAGAUCUCUCGCUCGGGAAAAAGUUGCAGGAAACCCUAAACCGAUCCCAAAUUCGUUGCGGCUGAGAUAUCGAUUCGAUAUGGCAGGAGGAGGAGGUGGGUAGUUUUGGAUUUCGAUUACUUUUUUGUAGAUUAAAGCGGAUAUUAAUGGUGAUUGAUUUAUGUGGUAGGUGAUGCGGCGUUACAAAGGCGGACGGGAGUGUGGUGGGACCUGAACACGUGUCCGGUUCCCGAUGGUUUUGACCCUCGUCGUGUGCGUGGGUGCAUAGAAUCAGCGGUGCACAAGCAGAUGGGUCAUCGUUCUAAAGUCGUCAUCUAUGCCAUGGGCAACCUAGAAUACAUCUCUAGUGACCUCUUGGAAGAGAUAGCUUACUCUGGAAUCGUUCUUGUCCACGCUCCCUGCGGUAUUAAAAUCCUCUCCUCUCUGGAAUAAUAAUAAUUAUUAUUAUAUCGAUUUGUCAGAGAGUAAUAUCUUUUAUUUCUAGGUGGGAACGACUUCAGAAAGUUACUGGGCGAAUGGUCUCAGCUUAACCCAUCAUCUCCGGCUUAUACUGUCAUGCUCAUAUCCUGCAAUUAUACGAUGGUUGAUCCUUAUCUUUUUCGGCCUACUCGAUUCACUGCUUUUUGUCUAUAUCCAAAAGAUAGCCGGCCAGUUACCCUUGACCAGCAGCCAGUAGCUCAGAAUGUUUUUGUGGGAGAGUUUGUCUGGGAAACUUUAUUGAAUGACAACAUCACAUGUGAGAUGAUGACCGUGAAUGAAGAUGAACCUCUCUGCAUUUGCGACAUAUGCGAUGACACUUUCGAAAUAUGUGCCCAAUUCAUCACUCAUCUCAAGAGUGAAGAACACAUAAAGGAGGUAAGCGAGCGAGCCUCCUCCUCUUCAGCUUUUGUAUCAUUGUCAUGUAACCUCUGUGUGUGUGAUGGUCUCAGCUUAACCCAUCAUCUCCGGCUUAUACUGUCAUGCUCAUAUCCUGCAAUUAUACGAUGGUUGAUCCUUAUCUUUUUCGGCCUACUCGAUUCACUGCUUUUUGUCUAUAUCCAAAAGAUAGCCGGCCAGUUACCCUUGACCAGCAGCCAGUAGCUCAGAAUGUUUUUGUGGGAGAGUUUGUCUGGGAAACUUUAUUGAAUGACAACAUCACAUGUGAGAUGAUGACCGUGAAUGAAGAUGAACCUCUCUGCAUUUGCGACAUAUGCGAUGACACUUUCGAAAUAUGUGCCGAAUUCAUCACUCAUCUCAAGAGUGAAGAACACAUAAAGGAGGUAAGCGAGCGAGCCUCCUCCUCUUCAGCUUUUGUAUCAUUGUCAUGUAACCUCUCUGUGUGUGUGUGUGUGCAGUUGUCUGAUAUAGUGCCUAGAGACUCCUGGUACGGUAAGCCUAUGCAUUUUUGCCAUGUUUGCAAUUAUCCCGGCUACGACGAUUAUAACAUGCUCCUCCAUAACCAAAGUGAAGAUCAUCAUCGCAAGGUAAAGCAUCCUUGCCUCUUUGCUCCUCUGACCAACUCUUCUGUAUCAAUAAAAUUUGAUCCCGUUUUGGUUUGUUUUCAAGCAGAAGAAUCUGGCUGAGAAAAUGGCUCAAGAAGAGGAUUGCGAGAGCAGGAAGAGAAAUCCACAAGUAGAUCUCUUUUACGAGAGAAACAAGAAGCAAUCUCUUUGAACGAGGCAAACAAGCUAGAGCGUGUGCAUGCCCCAUGGGGUCUGUGUUAAGUUUACUUUUGUCGAUUAAUUAAAAUGAAACUCUCAAAGGGGGAUUGAUGAUGAUUGUGUUCUUGGCGAAAAUUAUGCGAGUGUGAGAGACAAGCCUUUACCUUUUUAUCUCUUUAGGAAACUGUAGGGGAAGGAAACCAAGAAACUGUUAUUGUGUCUCAUAUGGACUAAACAUAUUUUUGGCCAUCUCUACUGACUGAGUUGCAUCGCAAGGUAAAGCAUCCUUGCCUCUUUGCUCCUCUGACCAACUCUUCUGUAUCAAUAAAAUUUGAUCCCGUUUUGGUUUGUUUUCAAGCAGAAGAAUCUGGCUGAGAAAAUGGCUCAAGAAGAGGAUUGCGAGAGCAGGAAGAGAAAUCCACAAGUAGAUCUCUUUUACGAGAGAAACAAGAAGCAAUCUCUUUGAACGAGGCAAACAAGCUAGAGCGUGUGCAUGCCCCAUGGGGUCUGUGUUAAGUUUACUUUUGUCGAUUAAUUAAAAUGAAACUCUCAAAGGGGGAUUGAUGAUGAUUGUGUUCUUGGCGAAAAUUAUGCGAGUGUGAGAGACAAGCCUUUACCUUUUUAUCUCUUUAGGAAACUGUAGGGGAAGGAAACCAAGAAACUGUUAUUGUGUCUCAUAUGGACUAAACAUAUUUUUGGCCAUCUCUACUGACUGAGUUGCAAAACUCACUACUUUUUAAACGGAACUGCUUACAUCACUAGUUAACAAAAGAAAAAAACAAUGUCGCUUCUUUUAAUGGGCACAAAUAAAACCAGACUUGUUAUGUCACUCCUGUGACAAAAGAGUGCAUUUCUAUUACAUACAUGUUAGUCUCGUGGAACUAAAGCUGCCCCGAUCUAUAGCAUAAACCUUGUGCCGGGUGUGUGUGACUCACUCACCCAAACGUUUCUUUUGUUCCCUAAAGUGACAACUCUUACAUUUUCUUCGCUAUAUAUAAUUCUUAUAGAAAAAAAUGGCCACAGCCUAAAGGAGGAGUUUAGAAAACAAACGUACUAUAUCAUCAUCAACAACUAUGUGAAACCUUUCUCAACGUUUUUGUGAUUUUAUCUCGGAGCCGCUUUAUCUUAGAACGCAUAUGUGAGUUUGUACCAAAAUAAGAUUCAGCGUUUGACAGCAUUGCAUCCACGUCGUGCUUAAACGACCCCAUACUUCUGUAGUACCGAUUCUCUACUCUCUGGUGAAUCAGCUCUGGGUAUAAAGGAACUGGGAACCUGCAAAAAGGAUUUUAAAUGUAACGAAGCUGAGUUACAUAUAAGGGAAUCAUAUUUAAAGAGAGUCAGAUUGCAGCAGAGAGCAAAGCGUACCUAUUGCAGAAAUCCAUCUUUUGAGCAGCUUCGUUUAGCUUUUGGAUUCCAUAACUAUCCUGAAGAAUAAUAUUAUAGUAACAGAAAAAAAAGUAACGGUCAAGCAAAGAUAAAAAAAGAUAGAGAAAUGGCCGGGAGAGAAGACAAAAAAAAAACCUGAUGCUUGCUGAUUGACUUCACUAGUCCAGCAAAUAAAGAAAGUAGUUUCUCUCUUGGCUCUUCGUCCAUGGUAGAGUUUUCCCAAGGAAACUGGGGAUUGUCAAACUCCCAGGGGCUGUGGAGAUUCGUGUCCCCAGUUUCAUAGACAACUUUGUAUCUCUCCCAUGGACUGUCUGGGAAGUUAGGGGACUUAACCUGUGAAGACUCGAUCCUUCCAUCCCACCAAGCACCGCCUUCACUGGACUCGUUUCUCCACCACACACGGCAUUCAUCCCCGACUUCCCAGUUUGUUUUCAUUGCAGCAUCGUAUCGAGUCUUCUCCACAAUAAAAUCCGGAAAAUUAAUGAGGUCAGGCAGUGUUAGUUGGAACUCUUUCCGAGAGGCAUGCGAUGAAGAAGAAUCCAGAACCCUGAGAGUCAUUUUGCAGCAGCUCUCGCCAGAACCAGGAUAUGUAUCGUAGUUGAGUUUCUCGACUUUACAAAACUCUACCGCUCCUAGGUUUCGUGGAAGGUACCUUGAUCGGUCGCUGUCAUUUAAUUCUCUACUUUCAAGGAACUCUUUAUGUCCCUGAGAAACGACAACCAGAGAAAGCUGUCAUUUAAUUCUCUUGAUCUAAGUAAUUAAUACAUGAAACUACCAGCCAAAAGAAAAGGACAUACCUGCUUGAAGUAAACAACUUCAUCCCCUAGCUGGGGUAUAUAGCGGCAGCUUUCCUCGUGUUCUGACAACAUCAACCAUGAGACUUUCCUUGACACAUUAUUCAACCUUAUCCCAGUAUUAAGACUUUGUUUGCUGGUACUUGCAGACCGGGACCUUGAAGUAGAAGGCCAUUCUUCAAGUGAGGCACCAUCAUACACGCUUGUGGAAGGAAUUUCUUGUUUCUUUACUUUAUCUAUAGACCUCAAACGUAAUACACUGUUUCUUGCACUAGACUGACUUGAAGUGGCCUUCAGUCUCAUAGAUCUCUUCCUACGUAUCACAUCGGCUGUAGCUUCUCCAAACUCAGCGUUGUGAGCAGGAGAGUUUCUAACAUUAUCUCUCACAGGUUCAGAAUCCAUAACAGGAUUCAUGGAAGAGGGAGCUAUGGAUGCAAGACCUUCUCCACCAUCUCCAAAAUCAUCUGCUACCUCAUCAGGCUCUAUUUUUAGAGGACUGCUGGGGUGCCGAAGCUUUAAUCUCAGUCGUCGAACUUUCUUUGGAAUAAUCUCCUCGGCUUCCGUGGAAGUAUCUACAUCACAAUGUCUUCGCUGAACACAGAAUGGUUCAACAAUUGACAAAUCUUCAUCCCUGCAAGAGAAAACAAUGGAUUAGAUCGUUGAUAUUUAAUAUAAGCAUAAAUUUUCUUAGUAAUCAUAACCAGAUUUCUUUGCCGUACCCAUUAGAUGUUUGGGCUUCUACAAUGUUCUCAGACUCGGCUAAUUUGGUGGAUUCACAAAGAGGAGUCUCUUCCCUCCACUUGCACAUAGUCUGGUCCUGAUCUGAAGAUUUUAUCAAUUGAUUAUUUGCCUUUUCUCUCUGUGGCGUAUUCAUAGAAUGGGGCACAUCCUGACACCAUGACGCACCUUUUGCAUCUACAGAACUUGACCCAGCUUCUCUAGAGUAUAUACCAAUUACUUUGUGAUUAUCCUCCAAAGAUUUCGAAGAAACAUGCUCCAAAUCAGCUUGACUCAUUACACUUCUCUUGCUUUCCACAGACUCUGUUGGCUUCUUAACCGAGAUCUUUACAAUCAAUCUUUUCUUUUGUUUGUCAUUUGAAAGAGAUUCCAGCUUCUGAGAUGGCUUCUCCAACUGUUGCAAAGGUGAUGCGCUUCUAUCAGAGUCACUAUUGGAUGAAUCAUCAGCUUCAUCCGAAGAGCUUCCAGAAAUCUUUGAAAGCAAGGACCGAGCAUUUUGCGCGGCUGCUCUUUGCGGUCGUGAUUCCUUGACAUCAGAAUAUCUUCUUUUUGAAGCCUUCACGCCAAUUCUUCUGUUUUUGAUUCUCUUAUUUCCAAAUUCGGAGCUAUCAAUCUCAUCCAAAAUCCUCUUAUCACGCCUUCCAGAUGAAGUAGCCACAUCAGCCUGAGAAAACGGGAGUUAGUCAAUAGAUAACAAAUAACAAAAUCGCAUGAGAUGAACAAAACAUACUCUAGGAUGUUGUCUUCGUCUUUUCCGAUUAUAACUAUUUUCGUAAAUAUUUUCAACGUCACUGUCCUCGGAACUGCACUCAAGUUCAUUUGAAGAGUUGGAACAUGGGCUUGCCUUAGCUCCAUCAGAGGAAACUUCAGCAUUGUACUCCGAAUCAUUGUCAUCACUCAGAACUUCAUGUUCUGGUUCCCAGUACAUAGCAUCUAUAAACUCAGGCAGUGGCUCGAUCAAUCUAUCCAGAUCUGCCAAAGGAGGCAUAAUAUAAUCUUGACCUAGACUAAAAUCAGGGCCAACAGAAAACUUUAUCGAGGAAGGACGCCAUUCGACUCCUAAUGCACCCAGUCUGCGUUGCUGAAACAUUGUCUGGUCAGGUUCUGGAUACGGAAUCAUACCUGAAAAUUUUUAAAACAAACACCAAGAAUAUAUGCCAUGAAUAACCAAUAUCUUGCAUAAAAGACAUAAAGAUAAGCUUUUGGGUACAAACUUGAAUCACAAAGAAGAUCUUGAAGGUUCCUCCGAUGGGGAAGAAGCUGAGUCUCCUGCACCGUGGAAAUUAUAGCUUUAAAUUUAGUCACAAUGAAACUGCAAGGAUAUCAUUCAUACAUCUCCGCCUUUUUAAUUCGAUAAAUGCAUAAAAGUGUGCAUGUUUCGGUGAGCUCUCUUUAAAAGAACGCAACAAUAACUAGAAGCAAAACAGGAGAUACAAGUAUUUGAAACCAACCUGAUCAAGAACAUGUCCAUUGGUAUCUCGAAUAAGAGGACGGUAAUCACCAAGGAAGAACUUACACAAAACAAGAAAAGACAAAGGAUCAGAAAGCAAUAGAGGAUCACUAAAAACUGCAGCCAUAUAUAAGAAAAAGAUUAUGCAUUAGGGAUGCAAAAUCCACCAUAAGUUUUGUGCAUUCUGAAAGGUCGUCGUCGUCUAAAUAAAUAGAUCUCUCGCUCGGGAAAAAGUUGCAGGAAACCCUAAACCGAUCCCAAAUUCGUUGCGGCUGAGAUAUCGAUUCGAUAUGGCAGGAGGAGGAGGUGGGUAGUUUUGGAUUUCGAUUACUUUUUUGUAGAUUAAAGCGGAUAUUAAUGGUGAUUGAUUUAUGUGGUAGGUGAUGCGGCGUUACAAAGGCGGACGGGAGUGUGGUGGGACCUGAACACGUGUCCGGUUCCCGAUGGUUUUGACCCUCGUCGUGUGCGUGGGUGCAUAGAAUCAGCGGUGCACAAGCAGAUGGGUCAUCGUUCUAAAGUCGUCAUCUAUGCCAUGGGCAACCUAGAAUACAUCUCUAGUGACCUCUUGGAAGAGAUAGCUUACUCUGGAAUCGUUCUUGUCCACGCUCCCUGCGGUAUUAAAAUCCUCUCCUCUCUGGAAUAAUAAUAAUUAUUAUUAUAUCGAUUUGUCAG